GAUGAACGCUGGCGGCGUGCCUAAUACAUGCAAGUCGAGCGAACGGACGAGAAGCUUGCUUCUCUGAUGUUAGCGGCGGACGGGUGAGUAACACGUGGAUAACCUACCUAUAAGACUGGGAUAACUUCGGGAAACCGGAGCUAAUACCGGAUAAUAUUUUGAACCGCAUGGUUCAAAAGUGAAAGACGGUCUUGCUGUCACUUAUAGAUGGACCCGCGCUGCAUUAGCUAGUUGGUAAGGUAACGGCUUACCAAGGCAACGAUGCAUAGCCGACCUGAGAGGGUGAUCGGCCACACUGGAACUGAGACACGGUCCAGACUCCUACGGGAGGCAGCAGUAGGGAAUCUUCCGCAAUGGGCGAAAGCCUGACGGAGCAACGCCGCGUGAGUGAUGAAGGUCUUCGGAUCGUAAAACUCUGGUAUUAGGGAAGAACAUAUGUGUAAGUAACUGUGCACAUCUUGACGGUACCUAAUCAGAAAGCCACGGCUAACUACGUG
rnacentral:rRNA from 1 species